GAAAUAAUAUAUGGGAAAGUUAUAAUCUGGCCAAGUUGAUAGUAAAAUAGGACAGCAUUACAGAGUAAUACUGUUGGAAACGUUGCUCCAAUCUGGCAACAGCGGGCUUGUGGAGUUGACAAGAUUUGCUGGCGGUGAGUGUUAUAACAAGCGCGAGGAGGAGAUUAGCUGCCGAGUGUUCGUGAUCCUGCCAACGUGAACAUUAUGAGCCAUUCUGUGGAGUAACAGAAUGGCUGUCGAAGCUGUCCACUGCAACCUGAGUCAGAAUGGAAUCGAUCAUCAGGUGUGUAUGGCGGAUGCGAGCUCACACGUGGAAGAGGUGUCUGUAGAUCAGGACCCAGGACUGGACGAUGACAGCUUGGGCUUUCAGCAGUAUAGUCCUGGUUUCCAGCGCUGUACUCCACCACAGCGCUCCGUCUCCGAAUCUGAACUCUCCAAGCCAGGGACAGUAAAACUCUCCAAACCAGUGGCUUUGUGGACUCAGCAGGAUGUGUGUAAGUGGCUGAAGAAGCACUGCCCAAACCAGCACCACAUCUACAGUGAUGCCUUCAAACAGCACGAUAUUACAGGUCGAGCUUUGAUGCGGCUGACAGAUAGGAAGCUGGAGAGGAUGGGUAUCAUGCAGGAGAGCCAGAGGCAGUACAUCCUGCAACAGGUCCUGCAGCUCCGUGUCAGAGAGGAGGUCCGCACCCUGCAGCUCCUUACACAAGCGCUCCCAGACUGAUGCCGCUUGGCUGACGGUGACACUUUUCUCCGCUGAUAGGAGGUGAUGAGCCGCAGACAUUUCAGAGAAGGAAGGAAGCAAGCAAGUCGUCAUGGUGACACUCAGUCCCCAGAGCCCCGUGCACUCUUGCCUCAUUGGAGAGCUCUCCAUAACCUGAGCAGUCCCAGAGACCCACCAGUCACCACAUGACCGUCCGAGUGUCUUCGCGAAUGUCGGCAGCACACACCAGCCUUCCUGCCCAAACUGAGUCACCUCGAGCCCUGGAUCAAACCCUUGUGUCCCUUCCUUUUCUCUUUCCCUCUCCCUUGCCCAUACUCCGUCCCCAUCCCACCCCCUCCAAAUACCACCCCUGAAGACAUUUCUUCUUCUUCUUCUUCUUCCUGUGCCAACUGGAACAUCUCUGAAUUGGACCACCGAUAUUCUUCUUGCUAAAAGGACAAUUGGCAUUGAGAGACUAAUUAACUGGCCAAUUAGUCCACUCACUGUAUGUCAUUUUACCAAGUGUAGCACUUUACCUUUCCUGUAGAGAGUCUGUUCGCUAUGCUACACUCUUCAGACCAGCAUAAUGUUCAGGCACACACAUUAGAUCUUCUAGUCACUGCAGUAGGGCUACUUGUCACUUUUUUUCUACUUUUACAUCUUUUUUCUUACUCCAUAUCUUUUUUUUGUGACUUCGCCUCUCUAUAGAGGGACUGCGUAGAGACGUUUUGCACAUCUGUAUAUUAUGUGUGCCUCAUGUUUAUUCCUGUAAGUCUGUUGUCUCUUUCUGUAUCUUGUGAGCUUGUCCUCUCUCUGUUUUUCUAUCUGUCCUCUAUGUCUGAGUUCCCUCUGAUUUCCUGUACGACUCAUCCUUCCUUCCCUUAAUCUGAAGUACACUGUGACUCUGA